rnacentral:lncRNA from 1 species
CUUGGAGGCAAAGGGGCUGGGCUUUUUGUCCUCCCACACUAGCCACUCACCUCUACCAAGCUUCAGAAUUCUGAAGAGGCUGCUCCAGUGCAUACCAAUUGCAUAAUAAAGAGAGGGCAAUCCUCUGAGUGUCCCAAACACAAGCUGGUAUCAAAGCAUGCAGAAGAUUGGGGGAUGAGCAUACAGAGCUGAUAAAAAGAAUCCAAGGAGAUCUGGGCAGAAGCUUUCACUAUGUCCUUUUAAAAAGAUACCUUUUAAAGAAGAGGACAUGCUGCCACCUAUUGAAACAACGCAAAUACAUACAGACACCCAGUUCUAAGAACAUCAGGACCUUGUCACCCCGUACCCGGCGAAAAGCAAACAAUGUAAAUUCUAAAAAAAAUUCUCAACUUUUUCUAUCCUGGACUUUACAAAGAUUUCCGCUACCUAAAUCAGUUCUAAAAGGAGCCUCAGGGCCAGGAAAAUCAUUUCUUCUUGGACCCACAGAACUUAAGUGUGAAGAACAGGACUGUUUGAAACAUGCUGUGACAUACCUUUCGGGAUGGACCUGCUCACACAGAAACAGCAGAGAAGGGAGCUCGCAGGAUCCUGAAACUGGCAGAAUGCCUGGUCACUGGCUCUUGGUAACGUGACCUUAAUCUAGUCGGGGUUCUCUUUAGUUCUUUAACUGGGAAAUUGUUAUGCUUUAUCCUUCAUUUGUGAAGAAGCCAGAAACAUGCUGCAGAUUUCCUCAUCUGUGAAACAGCUGUAAUAAUUCAGCCUCUCUAAGAUCAUAGAAUGUUCACAAAGAUAAAAUGGAAUAAGGUAUGGGAAAAUGUCUUAUAAAGUGUUUACACAUUCAACAAUGUAGAAGCUUGUUUUCAGACUUAUUUUGCCUGUAGUGACAAUAGCUUGUGCUGAAUUCCCACCUCAUCCCACUUAGGGAAUUUCUUUCAUGACAAAUAGCCCAUGUGAGAACCUCCUUUCUACAACCUUGGCCUCAUUGAACUGUAUUUUAAUACACAGUUUCUUAAUAAUUGAAGAAGUCAUUUAAAAAAAUGUUCCCAGUGUUUGCCACAGAAGAUUUGAGGUUGCAGCAUUUUAAUUAAACACAUAAAUUAAAUCUUCUUUUACAGCUGCCUUUGAUCACACUUCCUUCUUCCAAAAGUUUAUCAUUAUUUUCUGCGUAAUAUAUGUUUCCUCAAUAUAGUCUGAAUGUUUUAACUACUUCUGCGUUAUUUAGUGUCUUUUAUCCCUUGAUUCUGCUCACUUCUAGUCUAGCCUCUGUUGCUUCUACAUUUAAUGUUGUAACUUCUUUUUCUCUGUUGAAAAGCAACAAAAAACCAAAACCCUUUGUUUUUGUCUGCCUAACAUCUAUCCUCCUUCUUCCAUUAUCAGAAUCCCUCUUUUUCUUUGCAAAUCCCUCAUUGCUCAACUAUCAGCCUAUGUGGUCAACUGGGGUUGGUCUCACUCCAUCCCCAGCUCCAGGUGUGAGUACAUAACACAAGCUAGAGCAAUGGGAAGACUUUCUGUACUAUUUCUUGUAAUUAUUUAGAGAGAGAUAUUAUUUUCUUACUGGGGUUGCUAAGCUGAUGAGAUUUGGGCUAGAGUACCAGUGGCCAUCUUUAUCAUUCUCUGGGGAAUGCCUUCCGACUCCAGACAAAAGCCGAGUAAGAGAAAGGGAGAUAGAUUGUGCCUGAAGGUUCACCAUUAACCUAUUUAUGUGAGCCAAAAAGAAAAAAAAAUCCUCUUUUAUAUUUAAGCCUGUUUCAAUUGUAUUUCUGUCACUUACAAUUGAAGAGUGCUGAAUUCAUAGACUCCUCAAUUCCACACUUUAAAUUAUCUUCCACACAACUUUUAUAAAAGAAUGAUGGUAUUCAGAUCCUCACCAAACCCCUAGUUAAAUGAAAUUAAGGUGUAACCCCCCUCUAGGAGUAUCCUCUCUGGCUAACCAACUGUAGAAAAUAAGAAUGUAGAAUCCCCUUCCCACUCUUUGUAAAAUGAGCCCGGUCAGUUUAUGAAGCCUACUAGUCAACUUAGAGCAUUAGGUCUUAGCAGUAGUAGGCUGGCUUCUUGCAGGUUACAGAGCCAGAUACAGAGUCCACUCCCUGAAUACAUGCUUUGUAGUAAGGCUACAUUACCAUGAAAAUGGCAGAAAAGUCCCUAAUCAUGUAGAAGAGUUACACUGAGUAAAACAUUCUGAGAUCCCACAGUUGUUUGUACUGUUUAUGUUCCUUUGACAAUCAGAAAACAUCACUUUGUCAAG